rnacentral:tRNA from 1 species
GAGGGUGUAGCUCAGUGGUAGAGUGCAUGCCUAGCAUGCAUGAGGUCCUGGGUUCAAUCCCCAGUGCCUCUG